rnacentral:rRNA from 1 species
AACGAACGCUGGCGGCAGGCCUAACACAUGCAAGUCGAGCGCGCCCUUCGGGGUGAGCGGCGGACGGGUGAGUAACGCGUGGGAACGUGCCCUUUUCUACGGAAUAGCCUCGGGAAACUGAGAGUAAUACCGUAUACGCCCUUUGGGGGAAAGAUUUAUCGGAAAAGGAUCGGCCCGCGUUGGAUUAGGUAGUUGGUGGGGUAAUGGCCUACCAAGCCGACGAUCCAUAGCUGGUUUGAGAGGAUGAUCAGCCACACUGGGACUGAGACACGGCCCAGACUCCUACGGGAGGCAGCAGUGGGGAAUCGUAGACAAUGGGGGCAACCCUGAUCUAGCCAGGCCGCGUGAGUGAUGAAGGCCUUAGGGUUGUAAAGCUCUUUCAGCUGGGAAGAUAAUGACGGUACCAGCAGAAGAAGCCCCGGCUAACUCCGUG